AAUCAACGCUGGCGGCGUGCCUCAGACAUGCAAGUCGAACGAUUAAAGCUCUCUUCGGAGAGUGUAUAGAGUGGCGCACGGGUGAGUAACACGUAAGUAAUCUACCUUUGAGUGGGGAAUAACCCGGGGAAACCCGAGCUAAUACCGCAUAAUGCAGCGGCAUCGCAAGAUGACAGUUGUUAAAGGAGCAAUCCGUACUAAGAGG
rnacentral:rRNA from 1 species